GGAAGGGGUGUAUUUAUUAUGAUAAAAAACCAAUGCCCUUCGGGGCUCCUUGGUGAAUCAUAAUAACUUAACGAAUCGCAUGGCCUUGCGCCGGCGAUGGCUCAUUCAAAUUUCUGCCCUAUCAACUUUCGAUGGUAGGAUAGUGGCCUACCAUGGUGGCAACGGGUAACGGGGAAUUAGGGUUCGAUUCCGGAGAGGGAGCCUGAGAAACGGCUACCACAUCCAAGGAAGGCAGCAGGCGCGCAAAUUACCCAAUCCCGACACGGGGAGGUAGUGACAAUAAAUACUGAUACGGGGCUCUUUUGGGUCUCGUAAUUGGAAUGAGUACAAUCUAAAUCCCUUAACGAGGAACAAUUGGAGGGCAAGUCUGGCGCCAGCAGCCGCGGUAAUUCCAGCUCCAAUAGCGUAUAUUAAAGUUGUUGCAGCUAAAAAGCUCGUAGUUGAACCUUGGGUCUGGCUGGCCGGUCCGCCUCACCGCGAGUACUGGUCCGGCUGGACCUUUCCUUCUGGGGAAUCUCAUGGCCUUCACUGGCUGUGGGGGGAACCAGGACUUUUAC
rnacentral:rRNA from 1 species